rnacentral:lncRNA from 1 species
AAGAGGAGAGUAUAUAAAAAAAAUCUUCACCUUUUUCUUUCUUCUUCUUCUUCUUUCUGUUCUUCUUCUUCCUUUUUUUUCUUCUUUUUCUUCUUUUUCGGUUCUCCCCUUUCUUCCUUCCUCUAAAAAAAAAAAAUCUCUCUAGACCCUUUUUCGAAAUUUGGAUCUUAUUUUAUAUAGGAUUCAAAAACGAUUCCCAUUUGGGAAUAAUUCAAAAAUCAACUUAUUGAGGAAACAAUCCUCAAUCAACUAAUUUAUACUUUUUUUG